rnacentral:rRNA from 1 species
AUUGAACGCUGGCGGCAUGCUUUACACAUGCAAGUCGAACGGCAGCGGGGGCUUCGGCCCGCCGGCGAGUGGCGAACGGGUGAGUAAUGCAUCGGAACGUGCCCAGUCGUGGGGGAUAACACAUCGAAAGAUGUGCUAAUACCGCAUACGUCCUGAGGGAGAAAGCGGGGGAUCUUCGGACCUCGCGCGAUUGGAGCGGCCGAUGUCGGAUUAGCUAGUUGGUGGGGUAAAAGCCCACCAAGGCGACGAUCCGUAGCGGGUCUGAGAGGAUGAUCCGCCACACUGGGACUGAGACACGGCCCAGACUCCUACGGGAGGCAGCAGUGGGGAAUUUUGGACAAUGGGGGCAACCCUGAUCCAGCCAUGCCGCGUGAGUGAAGAAGG